rnacentral:rRNA from 1 species
GCUUGCACCGCCGACGACCGGCGCACGGGUGCGUAACGCGUAUACAAUCUACCUUGUAGAGGGGGAUAGCCCAGAGAAAUUUGGAUUAAUACCCCAUAGUAUUAUAGAAUAGCAUUAUUUUAUAAUUAAACAUUUAUGGCUACAAGAUGAGUAUGCGUUCUAUUAGUUAGUAGGUAAGGUAACGGCUUACCUAGACUUCGAUAGAUAGGGGUCCUGAGAGGGAGAUCCCCCACACUGGUACUGAGACACGGACCAGACUCCUACGGGAGGCAGCAGUGAGGAAUAUUGGACAAUGGGCGAGAGCCUGAUCCAGCCAUGCCGCGUGCAGGAAGACGGCCCUAUGGGUUGUAAACUGCUUUUAUAGAGGAAGAAACACUCCUACGUGUAGGAGCUUGACGGUACUCUACGAAUAAGGAUCGGCCAACUCCGUGCCAGCAGCCGCGGUAAUACGGAGGAUCCAA